UGCUGGGGAAGAAUCUGUCACGAAUCUUGACAAAUUGAGAUUUGCUGAUGGAAGAAGCAUAAGAACAUCGGAACUGCGACUCAGCAUGCAGAAGUCAACGCAAAAUCAUGCUGCCGUGUUCCGUGUGGGAAGCUUGUUGCAAGAAGGUUGUGGGAAAAUCAGCAAGCUCUAUGGAGACCUGAAGCAUCUGAAGACGUUUGACCGGGGAAUGGUCUGGAACACGGACCUGGUGGAGACCCUGGAGCUGCAGAACCUGAUGCUAUGUGCGCUGCAGACCGUCAAUGGAGCAGAGGCGGGGAAGGAGUCACGGGGCGCGCACGCCGGGGAAGACUACAAGGUGCGCCUUCUCGCCACGCCCACCUGCACCUGCCUUUUCCUCCCGCCUGGUGGGACUCAGCCCCACCCCUGCAUUUUCUCUGCAUUUUAUGUCGUUUCCCCAAAAGUAUAUCCAAAAAAUGCCUUUUUCCCUCUGGUAACUUUGAUCCCUGGGUUCUCGCCAUUUUCUGGAUCACUGUGACCUGUUCCUUGCUUUGGGUCGGCAUCCACUGAUGCCAGCAGUGGCAUCUCCAAGCCAAUGUGCUUUGCUGUUAGAAGGCCAAGGUUAGAAGUGCAGCCAGCGUGGCAUGACCAGGAAAUAAAUGCCAGUUUAUUAAAUAACGAGUAAGCCACCGUUUCAAGCCUGCCCUAUGGAGGAAAUGCCAGUUUAUUAAAUAACGAGUAAGCCACCGUUUCAAGCCUGCCCUGUGGAGGAAAUGCCAGUUUAU
ensembl:lncRNA MUC20-OT1 MUC20 overlapping transcript